rnacentral:rRNA from 1 species
GAUGAACGCUGGCGGCGUGCCUAACACAUGCAGGUCGAGCGAGAUGUAUAUGGACGAAACUUCGGUCUAGAAAAUAUAUUGACAGCGGCGGACGGGUGAGUAACGCGUAGGCAACCUGCCCUUAACACAGGGAUAGCCUCGGGAAACCGGGAUUAAAACCUGAUAAUGCCAAAUAGUCACAUGGCUGUUUGGCCAAAGAUUUAUCGGUUAAGGAUGGGCCUGCGUCUGAUUAGUUUGUUGGUGGGGUAACGGCCUACCAAGACUACGAUCAGUAGCCGACCUGAGAGGGUGAUCGGCCACAUUGGAACUGAGACACGGUCCAAACUCCUACGGGAGGCAGCAGUGGGGAAUAUUGCACAAUGGGCGAAAGCCUGAUGCAGCAACGCCGCGUGAGCGAUGAAGGCCUUUGGGUCGUAAAGCUCUGUCCUUGGGGAGAAAAAAUGACGGUACCCAAGGAGGAAGCCCCGGCUAACUACGUGCCAGCAGCCGCGGUAAUGU